rnacentral:lncRNA from 1 species
GCAGAUAUGAGAAUUUAACUACAUCUAUUAGGUGAGGCAUGAAAGAGAUUUGGAAAAUGUAAAAUAGUGCCACUUUUCUUAAUGAAUUAUCUUUUUUUGGAAAUACAGUUACUUUUCAUAACAUGCUAUUUAUAUACUUAUGGCAAUAUCAUGACUUUUAAGUGAACUAGUGCAUUUUAAACCAUCCUUAGUUUUGAUUUCUUAUUUGGUAAAUAUUGACACAAAUAAAAUGUCUCUAGGGUCCUGUGUAACUUUCAAGUACUGAAAGGAGUGCUGAUCUGGAACUCUUUCAAACACCAAGUAACUGUGAGCUAGACUUUGUUACACAUGCAAGCAAUCCUCUGAUAGCUGUGGACAUGGCUUUCUCAUUUGUCUGGAAGCAGAACAAAACAGAUUCAGGAAUGCACCAGUCAUUAGAGCUAGCAGAUGGAAUGGAAUAAAGUAAGAGGGAAUUUUGGAAAGCAAACUUUUCCAUUUUUAAUUGAAGCAUUACUCUCAGAGCUAAUACAUAGUAUAUUCCCCACCCUAUGGCUUGAUGCUGCUUGCUUUACAGUCAUCAAAUGAUACUAGUCUGUUGUCAGUCUGGUGUUUUCCUCUUACCUAAUGUGAUAAUUACCUUUUGUCUUUUUUUUUAAAUCCAGUCAUAGAAGUUGUUACGGUAAUAAUUUCACUGAUGAACAUCUGAAAUCCAACAUGGAAACCCAUGUUCAAAAACGGUGAAGUGAAGAAUCCAAGGAAGUUGAGGAAGCCUGGCUGAGAAGACUGUGCACAAGUCAACCAUAGGGCGGUAACGACAAGAAGAAUCCUGGGAUAAAAGCUGCUGUUAAUGAACACAGCAGUUCGAUCAUUUAAAAUAUGCAAACUUCACUUUUCCUGUCUGUUACCAUAAACCAGAGCUGGGAGAAGGCCUCAUUCCUCUCAACCACCACAGCAUCAUGCACACCAGUAGAAAGCAUAUUAACAGCAUGUGGCUAUAAAUGUGAGUUUCUUCCACUAGGAAGGUUCAAAGAUGACAAAUUGUCUUAUGGGCUUACAUCAGGAGUAUCCAGCAUGCUGCCUGGCAAUCAGUAAAUGUGAAAGGAAUACAGAUGUGAGUAUGUACUGUAUGCAUGUGUUCAUAUGUAUUUGUGUAAGCGUUUCUAUUUUAGAUUGACUUGGAAAAUCUGUUUUAAACACUGUUCAUUAGCAAACCUAACAAGCAGCAGAUUACCAAGGACCUAUCUUUCGCUUCACAUGCUGCAUACUUUGUUGUCCCUUACAAUGCCUCUCUACAGUCCGUAAUAAUGUGUUCCUUUCAUGUAUGAAGAUACUGGGAAUCAAAGCUUAGGUCAUUUUUCCAGUGUUGCAGGGUCAACAGUAGAGAGAUUGAAAAUCACAUGUCUCUCUCUUCUCAAAGCCUGUGCUUUUCUCACUAACUCACCCACCAUCCACCACCCCCAACUGAUGUCCCGUGUUCUCCAACGAUUCCAUCUGACAGUUCGUCUUGGCAGCUUCUCCAGAAGUGCAU